AAACAUUUCCUAGAGAUUACACCCCAUCCAGCCUCGCUCUAGAAAUCCAAGAAAUUAAACGUUCUCUCUCUUAACAAAAGCUUUCUCUUUAUAUAUACAUUUACAAAAACAAAAUAGCUUUGUGGGUAGUGGUAUGGCAACUAUGUUUAGAAAAUAGAUCUACAUGGUAAUGAUGAUGAUGCAUUGCAGGUUAUGAAGUGCAUUAGAGUUGAUUUAUGUGGUGGUGGUGGUAGCAGUGUUUUGGGUACUGUGAGGAGCAUUGUAGGCGAACAAAUUUGUUAAUAAUUGUGUUUUUUGUGAUCAAAUUUAUUGUUUGUAACUAGACAUGUGUUAUAUGUGACUAAGUCUAAUCAAAUUUGUCUUCAGUAUGAUUGUUUGUGACCGUAUAAUUUGUGAUUGUAAAUAAAUAAG
rnacentral:lncRNA from 1 species